UUUGGUUUGUUACGUGUGGUUGGCUGCGGCGUUUGCAACAACUUCCAUGCUUUCAGACCUCUUCAGUUGUGCGGCAAGGCUUGUAUCGCCUUGAGCGUAUUGUGGGUUUUCUGUGUUGGCUACCUAAUCAAUGGUAUCGGUUGGAUUGAUCAAUGUUUCAUUUCGUCUACCGUCGCAUUCGCGGCGUGAGAUGAACCUUGAUGCGGUCUCUUUGAUCCACCUCGUCGAAGCGCAUGCUUUGGCGUUGUGGCACAUUGAGCAUUGCUUGGUCUCUUGUAUACGGAACAUAUAGUGGGCAUGGAUCUAACGAUUCUCCUUUGCCCUCAUAUUAGCGUAACGCUUCUCUUACACGACUUGCWCCACGUUUUAG
rnacentral:misc_RNA from 1 species